rnacentral:lncRNA from 1 species
UAAGAUUAUAAACUCUAUAUGAUUAUAAAGUUAUAUGAUUAUAACGAGGAUAUGUAUAAAAGCUGAUUAAAAUCUAUGUUAUCAUAAUUGUGAAAUUUUAUAAACAUAGUGAUACUUGUGAUUUAAAAUACGAAAUAUGUUAAGCUUAUGAUAGCUGCAAAAUACUCUAGCUAAAAUAAGGAAUAUCCGAUAUUAAUGAAACCCAUGUAAGUACAUACUACAUUUUUCUUG